rnacentral:rRNA from 1 species
UACGAAGGGGGCUAGCGUUGCUCGGAAUCACUGGGCGUAAAGGGUGCGUAGGCGGGCCUUUAAGUCAGGGGUGAAAUCCUGGAGCUCAACUCCAGAACUGCCUUUGAUACUGAGGAUCUUGAGUUCGGGAGAGGUGAGUGGAACUGCGAGUGUAGAGGUGAAAUUCGUAGAUAUUCGCAAGAACACCAGUGGCGAAGGCGGCUCACUGGCUCGUAUCUGACGCUCAGGCGCGACAGCGUGGGGAGCAAACAGG